GUAGGGUGCAAGCGUUAAUCGGAAUUACUGGGCGUAAAGCGUGCGCAGGCGGGUUUUGUAAGUCUGACGUGAAAUCCCCGGGGCUCAACCUGGGAAUUGCGUUGGAGACUGCAAGGCUGGAGUCUGGCAGAGGGGGGUAGAAUUCCACGUGUAGCAGUGAAAUGCGUAGAGAUGUGGAGGAACACCGAUGGCGAAGGCAGCCCCCUGGGUCAAGACUGACGCUCAUGCACGAAAGCGUGGGGAGCAAACAGGAUUAGAUACCCUGGUAGUCCACGCCCUAAACGAUGUCUACUAGUUGUCGGGUCUUAAUUGACUUGGUAACGCAGCUAACGCGUGAAGUAGACCGCCUGGGGAGUACGGUCGCAAGAUUA
rnacentral:rRNA from 1 species